UGAGGUGUGAUUGCUGCCCUGUGAUUCUAGUGGAACAGAUUGAGUGUAAGAACAGAGUUUCUCUAGACCCGGACUCUACACUCUGUAGAGUAGGGGUUAAGGCACCUCAUUGACUAGACAAAGAAUCAUGAAGAGAAUCUGGGACGCUCUGCUGGGGCUCCUGUGGGUCCAUGUUUGCUCAGUAGUGACAGGGAUGAAGGUGGAGCAGAGCCCUUCAGCCCUGAGCCUGCAGGAGGGAGCCAGCUCUAUCCUCAAGUGCAAUUACUCUAGCGCAGUGAACAAUGUGCAAUGGUUUCGACAGAAUCCCGAGGGCGGCAGCCUCACCAGGCUGUUUUACAUAGCUUCAGGGAUGAAGCAGAGCGGGAGGCUAAACUGCACACUGAAUGCUAAGGAACGGUUCAGCACCCUCCAUGUCGCGGCCUCUCAGCUGGAAGACUCAGCCACCUACCUGUGUGCGGUGGAGGCACAGUGCUCCCUGGUGAUCUGCAGCCUGCCCCCAAACCGCAGCUGGGCCUGCAGCACCAGCACUUCCCUGGGGAGGGCAUUUGCCCCCACAGCAGCCUGUGCAUUUUACAAUUUCAGCUUUCUCUUACAAUACUUUUUUCCUCCUAAUAUUAGGUGCAUCAGUGCUGUUGUUUCACUUACUUUCCUUGCCCUUUUUCAUCCCAGAAAAUUCUUUGUAGGUAAAAACCUCUAUGAAGGAGCUUGA